CCUUUGAGUAGAGGCGCGCUGCCUAAAAGUAUCCAGAUAGAGGGUGACACCUAAGACAUCUGGGGAAAGGAGUCAGCGCCGAAGUUAUUGUUGCGUCAUCAACAAUCGCUGGGUCUGCAUUUAACAGAUGCAGGACUGCCAUAGUUAUGUUGUCUAUGGAGCGCUACCUAAAGG
rnacentral:ncRNA from 2 species